CGAACAGAUGUUUUUUAUUAUUUUGUUUUGCUUUUACCUUUUUACAACUUCUUGAUGGAAACCAUAAAUUCAACCAAAUAAAUAAAAUUAAUUGUAAUUUGUUUGUGACCCAAAAAUAUAUAAUCGACUGUGCAAUAAUAUUCAAAUGUGGCCAAUGCAUAAUUAUGUGUGGGUAUUCAUACCCAGCCCAAAGGUGGCUGUCACAAAGCCAGAUCAUUUUUCGGAACCUGUGUAGGGAAAAUGAUUUGGGAGUCAGUAUGAAUACAACCAUCAGGCUACAAUUAUUAUUGAAAUGAUUCACCUUCUUGAAAUACAUGCCAAUGUUUGUAUGGGAUUGGAAAUACCCAGAACUACCUGUCUUGUAAGGUUUAUAAUAACAUAAACAAAAACUGAAAGUCUGUCAUAACAAAAAAAAGGAUAUCUGUGUGUGACAGGGCAAUAAAAAUCUGAUGUGGAAAUUACUCAAGACAGAGUUUUGCAUUUGCUGCAAUAUGUGUAUAUCAUAAAUGCAUGUAUUCAGCUAAAGAUGUAAUGAAAUAUUUCGUAAAAGUAUUUAAGCUGUAGUAAAAUGGGUUUACUUUCAAUGGAAUAGGAUUGUCCACUUGUAUCAAAAAUGAAAUUAUCUUAUUUUGGUUUUUUGAAUAUAAUUUAAUGAAAUACCAUUCUUUCUUUUUCAGAUGGUGUUAUAUCUUGUUUGCCGAACACAAUGACGACCUAUGGAUGUCAUGGAUUUUUAUUUUAACAACAUUGCAUCAACUGGCAUUUGGUAAAUAUUCCUGGUAUUUUUUUAUAACUUAUGUAUUUUAUAAUAUUCGAGUUCUGUAUUUUUCUGUUUACUUAUUUGUCUAAUUUUGAUUGAAUUUUAAUAUUUUAAUUUAUUAUAUAUAUCCACAUUUAUUUUUGUUUUCUUAAUAUAAAUAUAUAAUGUUUUAAGUAAUUAUAUUUUUGGGGAAUUUUUUUUUUAAUGAAU